UUUCCGUAGGUGAACCUGCGGAAGGAUCAUUAAAAAUGAAGCCGGGAAACCGGUCCUUCUAACCCUUGAUUAUCUUAAUUUGUUGCUUUGGUGGGCCGCGCAAGCACCGGCUUCGGCUGGAUCGUGCCCGCCAGAGGACACAACUCUGUAUCAAAUGUCGUCUGAGUACUAUAAAAUAGUUAAAACUUUCAACAACGGAUCUCUUGGUUCUG
rnacentral:misc_RNA from 1 species